UACGGAGGAUCCAAGCGUUAUCCGGAUUUAUUGGGUUUAAAGGGUGCGUAGGCGGCUUUUUAAGUCAGGGGUGAAAGACGGUAGCUCAACUAUCGCAGUGCCCUUGAUACUGAAGAGCUUGAAUACACUAGAGGUAGGCGGAAUGUGACAAGUAGCGGUGAAAUGCGUAGAUAUCCGGAGGAAUACCAAAGGCGAAGGCAGUGUCCUGGGGAGUACCUGACGCUCAGGUGCGAAAGCCAGGGGAGCGAACGGG
rnacentral:rRNA from 1 species